rnacentral:misc_RNA from 1 species
AAUCUCAACCAUUAGGGUUUCUUAAUGGCUUGGAUUUGGGCGCUGCCACUUGCCUGGCUCGCCUUAAAAGAGUUAGCGUAUUAACUUGUCGAUCUGGCGUAAUAAGUUUCGCUGGUGUAGACUUGAGAAGUGCGCUUCUAAUCGUCUUCGGACAAUUCUUGAA